rnacentral:rRNA from 1 species
CCGACGGUGAGAGGCGAAAGCUGGGGGAGCAAACCGGAUUAGAUACCCGGGUAGUCCCAGCCGUAAACGAUGUGCGUUAGGUGUAUCGGUGACCACGAGUCACCGAGGUGCCGAAGAGAAAUCGUGAAACGUACCGCCUGGGAAGUACGGUCGCAAGGCUGAAACUUAAAGGAAUUGGCGGGGAGCACCACAACAGGUGGAGCCUGCGGUUUAAUCGGACUCAACGCCGGGAAACUCACCAGAUAAGACAGCUGAAUGAUAGUCGGGCUGAAGACUCUACUUGACUAGCUGAGAGGAGGUGCAUGGCCGUCGUCAGUUCGUACUGUGAAGCAUCCUGUUAAGUCAGGCAACGAGCGAGACCCACGCAACAGUUGCUAG